GAGUUGCAUGCCCAAGACCCGAAGCGGAGUGAUCUAGCCAUGGGCAGGUUGAAGCGCGGGUAAGACCGUGUGGAGGACCGAACCCACCAGGGUUGAAAACCUGGGGGAUGACCUGUGGUUAGGGGUGAAAGGCCAAUCAAACUCCGUGAUAGCUGGUUCUCCCCGAAAUGCAUUUAGGUGCAGCGUCACGUGUUUCUUGCCGGAGGUAGAGCACUGGAUAGGCGAUGGGCCUUACCGGGUUACUGACCUUAGCCAAACUCCGAAUGCCGGUAAGUGAGAGCGUGGCAGUGAGACUGUGGGGGAUAAGCUCCAUGGUCGAGAGGGAAACAGCCCAGAACACCGACUAAGGUCCCUAAGCGUGUGCUAAGUGGGAAAGGAUGUGGAGUCGCAGAGACAACCAGGAGGUUGGCUUAGAAGCAGCCACCCUUGAAAGAGUGCGUAAUAGCUCACUGGUCAAGUGAUUCCGCGCCGACAAUGUAGCGGGGCUCAAGCACAUCACCGAAGUCGUGUCAUUGCAGCAAUACUCCUAACGGGGGCUGUGAUGGGUAGGGGAGCGUCGUGUGCCGGGUGAAGCGGCGGUGGAAACCAGUCGUGGACGGUAUACGAGUGAGAAUGCAGGCAUGAGUAGCGAUACAAGAGUGGGAAACUCUUGCGCCGAUUGACCAAGGGUUCCUGGGUCAAGCUGAUCUGCCCAGGGUAAGUCGGGACCUAAGGCGAGGCCGACAGGCGUAGUCGAUGGACAACGGGUUGAUAUUCCCGUACCCGCUUUGAAGCGCCAACGCUGAACC
rnacentral:rRNA from 1 species